rnacentral:rRNA from 1 species
GCUCUAAAUUUAUAAUAGAAUUUUAUUUUUUAGUCAAAAAGCUAAAAUAUAUUUAAAAGACGAGAAGACCCUAUAAAUCUUUAUAUUUAGGUUAUUAUAAUUUUAUAGAUUUUUUUUGUUAUAAUAAUUGAUAAUAUUUUAUUGGGGUGAUAUUAAAAUUUGAUAAACUUUUAAUUGUUUAAAUCAUUAAUUUAUGAAUAAUUGAUCCGUUAUUAGCGAUUAAAAAAAUAAGUUACCUUAGGGAUAACAG